AUUGAACGCUGGCGGCAUGCUUUACACAUGCAAGUCGAACGGCAGCGCGGGGCAACCUGGCGGCGAGUGGCGAACGGGUGAGUAAUAUAUCGGAACGUACCCAAGAGUGGGGGAUAACGUAGCGAAAGUUACGCUAAUACCGCAUACGGUCUAUGGAUGAAAGCAGGGGACCGCAAGGCCUUGUGCUCCUGGAGCGGCCGACAUCUGAUUAGCUAGUUGGUGAGGUAAGGGCUCACCAAGGCGACGAUCAGUAGCUGGUCUGAGAGGACGACCAGCCACACUGGAACUGAGACACGGUCCAGACUCCUACGGGAGGCAGCAGUGGGGAAUUUUGGACAAUGGGGGCAACCCUGAUCCAGCAAUGCCGCGUGAGUGAAGAAGGCCUUCGGGUUGUAAAGCUCUUUUGUCAGGGAAGAAACGGGAGUGGCUAAUAUCCAUUCCUAAUGACGGUACCUGAAGAAUAAGCACCGGCUAACUACGUGCCAGCCGCCGCGGUAACAC
rnacentral:rRNA from 1 species